rnacentral:snoRNA from 1 species
GCACCUGAAUCUUUCCUAUUCCUUGCUGUGCAGUGCAGGUCUGGGGACAGUUGGUGCUACAGCACAGCAGCAGCAGAAAUCCAGAUGGGUUACUUUCCACUUGCUUGGAACUCAUCUCUACAGCUCUGCAACAUUU